GCAGUAGCCGCGGUAAUACGGAGGAUCCAAGCGUUAUCCGGAAUCAUUGGGUUUAAAGGGUCCGUAGGCGGUCUUGUAAGUCAGUGGUGAAAGCCCAUCGCUCAACGGUGGAACGGCCAUUGAUACUGCAGGACUUGAAUUAUUGGGAAGUAACUAGAAUAUGUAGUGUAGCGGUGAAAUGCUUAGAGAUUACAUGGAAUACCAAUUGCGAAGGCAGGUUACUACCAAUUGAUUGACGCUGAUGGACGAAAGCGUGGGUAGCGAACAGGAUUAGAUACCCCAGUAGUCCCUGUCUCUUAUAC
rnacentral:rRNA from 1 species